rnacentral:lncRNA from 1 species
GCUCUAGAGAUUUCUCUUAAUUUCUCUGACCUCAUUUCAACAUAGGAAGUCAAGCUGACGCCUAAUUUAGUGCAUUAGCCAUUUCACUGAAGUCAACGGGGUUGAUUGCAAACUCUCAUGAGUAUGUCCCUAUGCAUCCCUGCCAGGCAAAAAUGCAAUGUCUCUGCACUUCACAAAUCCCGAAUGCUUAGGGCACUUAAACAGGUAUUUUAUAUCUCUCAGUAGUUCCUUUAGUUUCAGGGAAUGUCUUGGGCUUAAAAUUAAGCACAUGCUUAAAUGAUUUGCAAUCUAUUCUAAAUUACAUAAGAGUAGUAAUUUGCAAUUAUUCAGAACAAAAUCAAAGAACUUGUGAAGUGCAUUGAAUUCCUUAAUAAUUUGUGAAAGUUAGUGCAAGAGCAAACAACAUGGUAGAUAGGAGAAAAGUCUGUUCUCAGGAAGGUGAUCUGAGCAAAGGCUUGGAAAUCAUUGCUUCAGCUGGCUGCAUGGAUCAGCCUCCUUGGUAAGGCACAGGAUAUAAGUUGUUGCAACAGUGACAGGAAUUUUCCUGGCUUCAAUGCAUUGGAAAUUUCCCAUUAGAUGUUUAUCCAGAUUUAACUCAAGGUCUGCACAUGAAUUAUUCAGGCCGUGCCUGGGGCUGUCAUUCACCUUCCCUACAAGCAGCCAGAGGCAAAUGAAGCAUGACUUACUGCCAGAAAGCAAGCAGUUUGAUCUCUGGAAUUGGGAUUCAGUUUGCUGUCUCUGUAAGCACAUUUCUGCUGUUUGA